CCAACGUGGAUGCCCCGGGAGGUCACCCUCCCCGGGCUUUGUCCAGGUGGCGUAUGGGAGCAAAGGGCUCUGCCCCAUGAUGGACAGUCCCUUUCCACAACGUUGGAGAGAAAGUCGGGCCUUGAGUCUGCGCCUGCAUAUUCCUACAACUUCUCAGAGUCCUGUGGACAGUGACUGAGGAGACAAACCAUGCAGGAAACGGCU